rnacentral:lncRNA from 1 species
AGAACGGACGACGACGCGAACCGACAACUAACAACGAAUGCAAGUUUUUGAAAACUGGCGGCAACGGAGAUGCCGAUGCAAUGCUGAUGAUGCGCAUGAUGCGAUGAUGAUGCGGCAACUGAAAAUACGCACACGACGAAAACGGAAAGAAAAGGGGAAGCUUCUGGAACGUCGGCAUCGGGCUGUCACAACACUGUGCUUCUGUUCCACGGAGGGUGACGAAUCGUCUUGUGCCUUUGUUAUGUAGUAUGUGAAAGCUUAAUGCACACGAUUAGUCCUUUAAGGUAUUGUCAUCAAUCACCAAAAUUACUUAGGCAUAAAUAUGCCCUAACAAUCCCCCCCUUUUUGGUGGAUUGAUGACAAUACCGGAUUUGCAUAGUAGAAAGCAUGUGAACAUACAGAUAAAUAAUAUAGAUA